rnacentral:rRNA from 1 species
UACGUAGGGGGCAAGCGUUGUCCGGAAUCAUUGGGCGUAAAGAGCGUGUAGGCGGCUCGGUAAGUCCGCUGUGAAAGUCCAGGGCUCAACCCUGGAAUGCCGGUGGAAACUGUCGAGCUCGAGUCCGGAAGAGGCGAGUGGAAUUCCUGGUGUAGCGGUGAAAUGCGCAGAUAUCAGGAAGAACACCAAUGGCGAAGGCAGCUCUCUGGGACGGUACUGACACUGAGACGCGAAAGCGUGGGGAGCGAACAGG